AUUGCGCACGAGUACACGAACCGAUUACGAUUCGAGAUUUCGAAAUAAUUCAUUCGGAUUCAGGCAACUAACCGUAGAAAAUAAUCGAAAUCGUUAGUAAAUUUCAUUUGUUAGGUUGGUGGUAGUGUGUUACAAGUGUCACUGCGAAUGCGAAAUGUCAUUUUGAAGAUGAACACGUCAAUAACGAAAGGUGCAAGUCGGUUUCUUCGCAAAUUGGUUAUGAGACCAGUUUUCGAAAUUAUUCUUUCUGACGGUACGGAAGUGGCUGGUGCACAAAGAUAUUUUUCAUGGAGCUUGAAUAAUUCGGGAAACAAAUUUUUAUUCUCCAUCCAAAAGCUCAAAGGAUUGCAUGUUCGGGCUAUGUUUGGCAUUGAUAAAUAUUCCUUUAUCAUUACAAUAGCUUUUGCUUUUGGUGAAACAGCUAAUACAUUUGUGGAUCUGGCAAUUUUGUCAUCAAGGUAAUUCCAUAACAUAUCAACAUUAACAGAAGAGUCAUCAGGCUGGUUUUUAAUGACUUAUAUGCACCCAUCGAAGCACCAUGUUCUCCGGAAAAGAUGAUGAAAAUAUGGUGGAAAACAACGCACGCUUUGGAAUAUUUUUCAUGUUUUUCUUGGUGAAGAAGUUAAAAAUUUUAUCAUUUUUUUUUAACAAAUUUUACAUUUUAUUUUUAUGGGUGUCUGUCAGUUGUAUCACUUUAUGCAAUAAAAUGCCACCGAUGUGAAGAAA